AGAGCAGCCUGUAAUGCUAAUGUGCAUGAGUUUAUCUUAAACGCCUGAAGAUAUGCAAUGUGUGCAUUGUAAUUGUGACUGUACGCGUUAGCCAUUCAUUGGCACGAAAUACUGACGAAGCUGGCUAAAAAUUGGGCGAACCAAAUGUUGUUUUGCUAAAUUUGCUUACUUUUUAUAUCACAUUGCAUUCAAGUUACCUGAUUCAAAAGCAUAUUUUUUAUUUUCUCUUUUGAAAAAAUAAAUAAAAAAGUCUACUAGAAAUCCUGACAAUCGGGAAUUACCCCACAGUGGAGAGGAUAAACUUUAAAAGACCCAUUGAAAAUAAAACAAAUUUACCAUAGCUAGCACGUACCACAGACUAAAGAAUUGUUGAUUAGGUAGGUGGUCGUCCUUGCCUCGGAAUCAUUCCACAGAAUUCGGGAUGUGUUUCGUCUCGAGGCUAUUUGCUACUGCAGUCGGCAUAAUCUUUUUCAAAAAUUUGAAUUCAUCAUUUCUUUUCACCUCCCCUUUCGAGGGUUGGCUCUUAAGGUUCACCAUUUCGCUAGCAGAUGCCGGUGAACUGAAAUAGCAACAGCAGUAAAAUCCGUUCGCUGGAAGAAUCGCAAAUCGCACUUUUUGACUUCUUUUCGAGCCAUUCCGAACCGAAACUGCCUAGACAGGUCGUGCUGCUGCUAGCCCGUGAACUUUCACGAGCAGUCGUAAAGUUAUUCCAUUUCCCACCUCCGACGCGCGUUGGUGUGAAAUCUUGGGUCUGCGAAUGCGAACCUCGAACGGCACACAUUAAAGUAGGCCACUUAUAAAGGACCAUCAUGGGCGACGAAAGCAUUUUCUUACGAUCGCUGCUGGAAGUAAAAUAGCUUUUUGGCGAUACGUAUUCGUCGUUCGCCUGAACGCGGUAGCGCGGCCGCAAUGUAAAGUGAAAGUUUCGAUUCUCCUUUUUCAAUUCUGUUUUAUCGUGUUUUAUCUGCUGCUGGGAAGCGUUGAACUUGAUGACUUUUGAAAGCGAUGAAUAUUUUCAUUGAGAGCCAUUCCUCUAUAACUGCAAUCUGAAAGGAUUGAAGUGAUGGAAUUAUUGUUUAUGUUUUUAUGACAUUUAUAAUACUACAGCAGGACGACUUGAACGUUUACUAACUGGAUUAUCAACUUGAGCCUAUAACUUUAGUAAUUAUUUCAAUGCUUCAUGCGAUGAAAAGUUCGACUUGUUAUACUCCAUUUACUUUACAUUUGGGUGUAACAAGACGAUGAUAAAGAUAAAUCCGUUCAUUAUAUCAUCUUUGGAGACGCUUACUCAAAUAAUGAACAAUAACGUAGCGUUUCUCAUGUCUUCUUUGAUAGGUUAACACUUACUUUAUUCUUCAAUCGAGUGAGUGGACGAUUUUGUUUUUUUUUUAUUCCUGAACGAUACGUGCAAGAAUUUUUCACUUCUGUAUUAAAAAAAAAUGUUAUAGCUGUCGUCUCGGACGAUGUCUUUGUCGCUGUACUGCUUUGCAGUUAGCAAAAACGCCGCGCUGAAACGUUCGGUUCGCAUAUGCAGAUGUGUGCCAUCCUUCUUGGCAGCGGAGGAAAUCGAUUUGCGGCGAGCUAAACGACGGGAGGAAAACAUGAAAUGGCACACCCGAAACCAUGAAGCAUCUCAAGCGCUUCGACUUUUCUUUCCGCACAGUUCGAUUUCCAUGCGAGUGAAAACUGUUUAGCGUGCUCGUACGUUGAAACGAGCUCGGCAACCGGGCGGGAAGAGGCGAAAUCGAAUCGAACAUCAUUAAAAUUCAUUUGCGUUUAACCAUGCUCCUUCUGCAUCCGUUUUACCGUGAAGGUUGGUGGGAGCGUAGGGGGGGGGGGGGGGGUGUUAGCAUAUAUGUAGCAUGUGUGGGUAGUGGGCGCCGUGCUUCCUCGAGAAUCAGUUGCCAGUGUGAUAGGCUUCGGGUUUAUGGUGGAAAACAGUGGAACGGCAGCGGUCCCUAUCAGGUAUAGAAUUUUUGGAGCAAAACCUUCCUGAGAAUGUAUGUGUGUAUGUAUUUAUAUGUGCGUGUUGUGUGUUAAGGAAGCAACUUGUGCGAUGAAAAGGAAAAUGGAGUUUCUUUUAUUCAAAUGUGUGGCCAUUUGAUUCGAACGAUUCAAAGCGACCCUACACACACACACACACACACACACACGGAAAGCGAACUGUGAUGUAUUCUUUGUGGAGUGUUCGCUUUCUUUAGAGUUCGCGCCUCUCGCGGUUCACCUCAAAGAGCCGGAAGCUUAAAAGCGAGUCAUAGAUAAGGCACAAACGAUCGCGUCGACAUUAGUAGGUUUGAAUUUUGCUUGAUGCUUUGUGACACGUGUAUCUGUGCUCGCUGGCGAACUGCUUUGUUGAUGAUGUAUGGUGUUUGACAUAAGAUCUAAUGAAAAAUAAAUACACUUUUUAUACAGCGCAAAACAUACCCAUGAACUGUUCGCGUUGUGUGAAUCCGUACAAGAUUUGGAGCUCUUACUGUGUACUCAAACAAUGCAAUUGAUUUCAGCGUGUAUAAAUAAAUCGAUAGAUGAGUUGCAAUGCAGGUGAAACACUCUUGUGGAACAGGUAUUUUGACUUUUUCAAAAUAUCUCUCACUGCAAAAGUUUUCCAAAAUGCUUAACAAAUAAUGGUAUUCUGUUCUCGUGACAUUAUAAAUUUGCGUUACAGAGAACUCCACGCUGAUCUCCAUGCUGCUCCAGGCUGUGCGUUGUGAUGACAUACUCAUUUCUGGUUCUGGUUCUGGUUCCUGUUGAUUGAAAUGUUCUUCGAACUUCUUCUGAAUAAUAAUAACAAAUCAACAAGCAAAAUAUGAUCGUUUGCUUAUCGUUGCUCAUAGUUCAGCUGAUGAGCGACUAGCUCUGCAGCGUUUGCAGUUUGAGUGCCGACGCCUGUAAACCUGCCCAGUCCAGUCCACUGCUUAGGCUAAUCACUUAUCAGCAGCAGCAGUAGCAGCAGCAACAGUCAUCUCAAGCCCGCAAUCGCAAGCUGGCGAGCGAAACGGGCGCACUGUACGCGCCAACUGCUGUGCUGACAGUCUUCUGUGAGCUGCUUCUUUUCUAACCAGUCCCGCAAUCAAUCUCUAACGUCUAGCGUCGUCAGGCAGGCGCGGCACACUCCAGUUAACUUCCGCGUAUUUUGGACCACGGCUACUCCGGCCGAGCUGUUGCGCAAUUCAGCGAUCCCGCUCGCCCUUUCCGACGGGCGCAGAAAGUGCGCAGAUUGCAACUACUGGUGUGUUAUCUUUGUAGCUCACAGGUGACACCUAUGCCGACUGAUGGAUUCAGGCGCUAGUAAAAAAAAGGAAUGGAAAAAGAUACGACCGGUGGUUCAUGCCAUCCCCCAAUCGCCCCGGUGGGCAUGGUUCGUUGGACAUAAGCUCGUGCCGAUUUUUAAAGACAUGAAAUCAAGCGGAUGUGCCGUCAUGUUGUGAAUAUUUUAUGCUUUAUCACUAUUACCGGGGGAGGGUUUUUCAUAACGAUCCGGGGGCUGAUAUUUUUGAGGAUUGUUUUGUCUCUUUCCUUACGGUGUAAGUUCCUAAAGAAUGUUUUAUGUAUAGGCGGCACUAGGGUAAAAUUUAAGGCGUUGGUAUAAUUUUUAAUUUGUAGCCUUGGUGUAUGACCAUGUGUUGCGAUAAGGAAAGAAAUGUUGUAGUCUGAAAGCUCAUACCGGUAUUUUGAAAUUUAAUACAUUAGCGAUCCUUGGCAUUUGUUGAGCCUUACCUUCAAUUUUAUUUGUAAUAUUCACAAAAUGCUCUAUCAAUGCACCUAUUAGCCCAUCUCACGCGUGCUAUAAUUAAAAUUACAAACACAUAAUUCUAAUUCACAUUCGCUGUCACCCAGCAUUAUCAGCCCAUGUUCGACCUAGGUGCCAAAUGUAUCUUCAAUACUUAUAUUUGCCCUGUACAUUAUCAUCACCGUUCUUCGCAGUGCUUCCAUUUUGUUUCUCUUGCACCAGGGAACACACAGGUGGCUGAUGAUAUUUGACAUUUGAAGCACGUGGAAAAGAGCAAAAAAAAAAAAAAAACCUACGAGCUUAACAACACCGGCUGAGGACCGUGCUCAAGCACAUGUAAGGUGUGGUUAAGUUCAUUCUGGGUUGACUUCUUCAACCUAUCCCAUACACACAACGGCAGCAGCAGGCUGAAGUGUUAAGGUAUAGAAUAUCCUGAAGAUGGCAAAAAAGACAACCUCACCGAGUUGUCUCGAUACGUACGCAAGGCACACCAAAGAGCGUCACGGUGGCAGGCAGCGCCACCGAGCACGUUGUGGAAGCGUCGUUGACAUUGAUUGAAUUUCUUGUUCCGUAAAAGAUAAUCCUCCCAGCCAGCCCCCCCCCCCCCCCCCCCCGUGUGCACCCGCGUAAAAACUUUCGGGCCGAAGCUCGAAUUUUUAUCCUUGGUCGAUGUCGCUGUAGCAGUGGAGUUGCGGGUUGGACCGAAGAACGAAUUCGUACGUUUGGCUGCCACUUCAGCACGUGCGUACCGUGGGACGAAGAAGUGCGAGGGUAACAUAUUUGUGCCUAUCGCCGGGAAACAUAUUCGGUGCUGAAGAGAAGAAACUGUCCUCGUCCGCGUUGAGGUGAUUUCAGUUCCAAUGGGCGUUAUUUGAAGGGUGAGAAGGGGUGUUGGGGAAGAAAAAGGGAGAAAAGUCCGAAGUUGUUUUACGGUUUUAUUAGCAAAAGCGAAAAGCGAAAGGCCACAAAAAAGGCACACUGUACACACGCACUCGUUAGGCGCACGCGAGUGUGCACAUCAUCUGUCUUGUUCGACGGCGAACAAAAGCAUUCAGCGCGGGAUCCAAAGUUUUCCCACUAAUGAUGCCUUAACAUGUCCGCGUAUUUCAAGGACCUGAUCCGAUUUCCUUCACCGGUGUUUGUUGUUCUUUGCCGGCUGCUAUUGUUCCUUGCUUUUCGCACGGAACUUUUUGCAGAUUAAAGUUUUGCUGGUGCUAUGUUUAUCUUGGUACCGACUGUACAAACCGAUCUGAAGACAGAUUGGUGAUGGGUGCUUCAAAAAUGCGUCAUUACCUUUUUCACACGCAAUGGAAAUUCGAUAAGUGCCGACGGUCACCGACGACCGUACCAUCAUUUGCCAUUUGUAAAACAUUUGCUCUCAGCUUGAAGUAGAACUUGAUUCUUAACAAACAGCCAGUAGUGGAAUUAUAGCCGUGUAGUUUACUUUUUGGUAAUAUUGUGUGCACUUUAAAGAUCACAGUUUGCGCAAUAGGCAAUCAAUUCAUCCAUUUGCUUUUCUAAACGGAAAAGGGAGUACAAUUACGGAGCAUCUAGCCAGCCUCGAAACCCCUUAAAAGUACGUAUAUAAAGUAAGACGCUAGUAGGUUUGAAACAUGCCAAUUUGAAGAAUUUUUAACAAUAAAAAAUCAUACAACUUAAUUACCUAAACAUAUUACACUAGCUACAAGAGAGCAUACUUCAGCAAUCUUAAAAGCGAGCAACAUGUCGAAACUCUGACAAAAUGUGACAAUUUAACCAAAUUCAAGGGUCAUAAACUGGGAAGUGUUCUUGCACUACCGACUGAUAGAGAGAGAGAGCAAAAGUGAGAGCGAAAGAGAUGGAGGGUGAGAGCGCGCAACGGACAUGGGCACUAUGGAAAAUAUAAUACCAUGCCGGGUCGAAAUGCGCAGGGGAAUCGUUUAGUCGAAUACUAGGAUGCUCUAAAAAAAGCUUUCACGGCCUCUCGCAACUUUAUCCCAGUUGACACGAACGUUACAAAAUAUCUUAAACAUUCGGGGUAGCAGGUCCUUCUCCACCCUCUCUUCUCGCUCAAACGAAUCUCUGGAGAGGAUACUAUUAUUUUCAUUCUUUAUCGUAAGGUUGCUAUCGCAACGGGAGCAACGUGAGCCUUUAUUGUACAGCAUCUCCGCUUAUGGCACUCGUUUCAUUCGCAUACAUGGAUAAACUCUCACAAAAAGGCUAUCUAAAGGCACCACCGCUCACUGGAAACUGAGUUGCCUGAAGCCAAUGCAUUCACCAGGGGAAAUUGUGGAACAACUAUCGCGCUCAGCACCUGUACCGCCAUCAUUCACCAGCACGUUUCGUCUGGGUGUAUUUACCUUCACGUGUGGAAAGCGUGCGGACUGUGAAAAAUGUCCAUUACCUGAUUGCUUCAAUGCACGGCCCCGACUUGGUUUACACUUUUCUUGUUGUUCUGUUUUGCAAUGGGAGAAUAAAAAAGCAUCCAUGAACACAUGGCAGAGAUGACGCUUGGGAAAACCUGGUUGACAAGCUUCCAAUUCGGGCUGCAGGGAACUCGUUUUGAUUGGCUGCUGUCUAUAGUGAAAAGCCGUGCAGUGAAGCAGUUGUAGCUGAUGGCGUGGUGCUGGGCGGUAUUUAUCGGGCCGAACGUGAUAUGGGUGGCUGGCGUUUGUACGUUCAUGAAUAAAUAAUUAGAUUCAACAGCUUGUUAGCUCUGAGUUUCGUUGGUUGUCUUUGUAAGUGCGAUAAAACUUUCUAUUUCAUUAUGAUUUUCUUGAUGUAAGAAAAAGCCGAUCUUGUGACGAGCUCCGUUAAAUAUAUUUGUUGGCAUAUAAUGAUCGUUGCGUAUGGCAUAUUAGUAGCACUUACAGAUAUUAAACACUUCAAAAGCUCAUAAUUAAAAUAUUUCCUAAUCAGUAAACCUACCUCAACACACUUUACCGUAAAGUUUGCAGUUAUGUUUCGUUGUGCUCCGCAAAGGACGUAUGGUUCUUCCGGUGUUCAUAUCGUGUAACCUUUCUUAACUGAUAGCCCGUAACCCUCUGUCCUUAAGCUCAAUAAUAGAUGCCGACGGCAAAGGGCUCCCGCGCCACGAAUAGGUCUCAUAGAAAGUAUGAGUGAGAAUAAGCUUACCACUCAUUUCGACGCUUCCACUGGGGCAUUUCUUAUCAAGUCGAGUCACUCGAUUAUAUUAGCUGAAGAGACCUGCCGCGAGCCACAGGCAUCUCCAGCGCGUUGAGUGGUGGCUAACCAAUCUGACAUUGGAAGCGACACGGUACCCAGUCGCUCAAUUCCUGCAGUGAUAACACGAAAUUCCCUAGUAAUAUGAAUUGCAACAAGGUCCAAGGCGCCCACCGAUAAGCAUGGAGGAUAGAAGGCCUUCCCACAUUCUGAACCCCGAGAGCACAAGAGAAAGAGAGACGAGACCAGGCACAGCAUCCAACGCCGUGCGAGAUCAAAACCGCGAGAGCUAUCGCUGAGCGCCCGAAUCGGAAUGAGAUGCUGGGGAAAAAUCGAUGAUAAUCGUCGUCCCUGAAAGAGUGCUAGCCCUUCGGACCUGGGUAUCUCCCGCUGCAGAGCAGAGAGCAGAAGUUUGCAACGAAAGGACCGAUUCAGUAUGUUAGUGCAUCUCGUGGCGUAAUGACUGCGAGUCUGAACGGUCGCUUCAUACUGCGAGGUCCUUAGUCGUGUGCUGACUCCGUCGUUGCAAUUUCAACAGAAGAAAAUAAAACUAGCUGCACGGUAGGACUGUAAAACUGUGAGUGUAGUGUUUUGAUGGUGAGAAGUGGGUACGUUUGGGAGAGAUUUGCUACGAACGUUGGCAAACGCAAUUCAACAACACUAGUACAAGUGUUUAUCUGUGUGUUGUAAUACUAUAACUGCAUGUAAAACUAUUUUAAGUGGCUUUUCAUGCAGCCCUUCCAGCAGCAUCUCCGCUUCUCACAGCGAGAAUCUGUUACUGCAAACUGAAAAGACGAUAGAAGAUAUUUAGCGUUGAGUUGUCCUGUGUUGUUUAAUCUGUUUUAUCUUCCUGGUGCGAGCAGUUUGUUGCAUCAUACAGUAGACGCCGUGUCAUUGCAAAGAAAGAUUGAUUAAUUAUGUGAAAGUUGUCAGCCCGUAGCAACGUGACAUUCGCGCCAACGUUCCAAUCCAGUCUGACGAUCUCCGACCUCGUCUUCCGUUGCAAUUCAACUGAUAGGUUGCAGUGGCUCAGUUGCAUCAUAUGAUAAGUUGCUGUUUGAACGUGUUGUGGUGAUUGAAGUGUAUCUGAGCGCUUGGGUGAGCGUGUGUGCUAUCAAUAAAAAGAGAGAGAGAUAGAUAGAGGGAGAGAGAGAGAGA